UUUGCGUUACCAAGAAUGCCUUGAAAAAAGUUGGGAUAAACGACAAGUUUCGAAUACUAUCAACCAACUGGGAUCUGUCCGAAACCAAAUUUAUUUCGUCGUUAGAACACGUUACCUAUCCGUUCUACGGAUUGCAAUUUCAUCCAGAGAAGAAUUUGUAUGAAUGGAUCAUCGGUGGAAAUAUACCGCAUGGAAAGAACGCGAUCAAAGCGUCCCAGUACUUCGCUAAUUUUUUCGUUAGCGAAGCACGAAAGAAUACACACGAAUUUC